GACGAACGCUGGCGGCGUGCUUAACACAUGCGAGUCGAACGGAAAGGCCCCGCUUUUGUGGGGUGCUCGAGUGGCGAACGGGUGAGUAACACGUGAGUAACCUGCCCUUGACUUUGGGAUAACUUCAGGAAACUGGGGCUAAUACCGGAUAGGAGCUCCUGCUGCAUGGUGGGGGUUGGAAAGUUUCGGCGGUUGGGGAUGGACUCGCGGCUUAUCAGCUUGUUGGUGGGGUAGUGGCUUACCAAGGCUUUGACGGGUAGCCGGCCUGAGAGGGUGACCGGCCACAUUGGGACUGAGAUACGGCCCAGACUCCUACGGGAGGCAGCAGUGGGGAAUAUUGCACAAUGGGCGGAAGCCUGAUGCAGCAACGCCGCGUGCGGGAUGACGGCCUUCGGGUUGUAAACCGCUUUCGCCUGUGACGAAGCGUGAGUGACGGUAAUGGGUAAAGAAGCACCGGCUAACUACGUG
rnacentral:rRNA from 1 species